GCAGAGUGUAGAUCCCCAAAUUGCAAAGAGUGGCUCGAGAAUCUUUCAUUGAGUGGAGCACCUGGUCAGUCUUGGCCAAAAAUAGUUUCUCUCGGUCCAAAGUGGGAUGUCCUGGCUUUGGUUGACCUGCUUAAACGGUUCCUGAAACUGUUUGAAGUCAUCUGCAAGUUUGGCAAGAGUGACGAACAGUGCCCCGAGCUCAGUCUUCAGCAGAGGACGGCUGAGAAGGAACUGGAUGGCUCAGGUCAUGUGCGUGCUAGACACGGCACCAAUGGCACAGCAAGAUGCCUACUGCGCAGGUGCGACCCACACGGACACUGCUACCAUAAAUCUCCAAUAGAUGGUGCCAGGAUGCACCGACACCUGAAAUGGAGCACCCGCAGGGACAGCACUCAAAGAAGUAUUUCUAUUUUUUCAAGUUAAUGGUUAAAAACCUAGUCUGAGGAACAAGAACAUUAAAGAAAGUUUAACACUCUUACUACUGUAAUAACUUCUAGGUCUUUCACAUAUGUCCGUUCAGUAGCAAGAAUCUCCUUUGCUAUGAAAUAGACCUUGUCUGUUGGAUAUUGCUGAAAGAAAAGAAAACUACCAAUUAGAAUUAAACAAACAUACAUAUAUUACAGUUCUUAUUUUUAAUCAUGAACUCACUUUCAACCAGUUACUGUAUCUCUCUGGGGAGAAUUCAAGCAAUGUUACUUUGGCAAAACUGUUGCCUCCUGCUCCGAAAAUGGAAUGUUUCAUUUCCAGAGCACUGGCAGUCAGAUAAGUGUUGGAUUUCUCAAACAAACAAAUUUGUUGUAAAGUAUUUUUUAUUUGAGUCUAAAAGAAACCUCUCAACUAAAUUAGAUAACAAUACCACUUACACUUAGAUAGCACUUUUCAUUCCAAAAUCUCAAAGCACUUUACAGAAGUGGAAAAGGUAUUAUUUCAGCUUUGACAGAUUUUAAAUGAUUCUGUAAUAAAUU